GGAGGGAUUGAGAGAGUUGCAGAGGAAGAGAGAUAGGUUCAUGCAGAGCUUGAUAGAAGAGCAUAGAACAAGAAUUGCCAAGGACAAGGAGUCAUCUUCAUCAUGCUGUAAUGGCGACGAUGGAGAGAAGAAGAAGAAGAAGAAGAAGAAGAAGAAGAAGACGAUGAUUGAAGUGAUGCUGUCGCUACAAGAGAAGGAACCUGAUUACUAUACGGACCUGAUCAUCAGAGGCCUCAUGCUGGUAGCGAAUUUAUAUAUGCUUUUGUUCCCA
rnacentral:lncRNA from 1 species